rnacentral:rRNA from 1 species
CAGUCGCCGCGGUAAUACAGAGGGUGCGAGCGUUAAUCGGAUUUACUGGGCGUAAAGCGCGCGUAGACGGUUUGGUAAGUCAGAUGUGAAAUCCCUGGGCUCAACCUGGGAACUGCAUUUGAUACUGCCUGGCUAGAGUAUCGAAGAGGGAAGUGGAAUUUCCGGUGUAGCGGUGAAAUGCGUAGAUAUCGGAAGGAACACCAGUGGCGAAAGCGACUUCCUGGUCGAAUACUGACGUUCAUGUGCGAAAGCGUGGGGAGCAAACAGGAUUAGAUACCCCUGUAGUCCCUGUCUCUUAUAC